CAGAGUUGCAAAACUCCCACAAACCAUCGCGAAUCUUACCCGUACGGUUGCCUCGGCGCUGGCGGUCCGGAAGGCCCUCGGGCCCCCCGGAUCCUCGGGUCUCCCGCUCGCGGGAGGCUGCCCGCCGGAGUGCCGAAACCAGACUCUUGAUAUUUUAUGUCUCUCUGAGUAAACUUUUAAAUAAGUCA
rnacentral:misc_RNA from 1 species